UACGUAGGUGGCGAGCGUUGUCCGGAUUUACUGGGCGUAAAGAGCGCGCAGGCGGCUGGUCAAGUCCGAUGUGAAAGCUCCCGGCUUAACUGGGAAAUUGCAUCGGAAACUGAUCGGCUGGAAGGUGGGAGAGGGUAGCGGAAUUCCCGGUGUAGUGGUGAAAUGCGUAGAUAUCGGCAGGAACACCCAGGGGGAAACCAGUCGACUGGGCAUCUACUGACGCUGAGGUGCGAGAGCGUGGGGAGCGAACCGG
rnacentral:rRNA from 1 species